rnacentral:lncRNA from 1 species
AGGGGGCUCCAGUCUGCACAGCUUUCAGAGACGAUGCUCGAACGGCUGGCCAGUUCUUCCCCAAAACCACUCCGUACCAUCUGGACGCGCAUCAGGCCGAGGUAGGCGACUUGACAAGGACCUGGUCCUGGGAUCCUUGGCAUCUUGGAUGGCCUCUCUUUCCACAAGUUGCCUCCAUGCAUACCUCACAUUAUGAUACUGCAAAUUAUUGAAUGCGUUGUCUCCUUUUUGCGCCAAUGCAAUCAAUUAGUGCAAGUCAGUAUUGCUAACUUCUCAGGGGUGGCGCCAAACAUCAACACUUUGGCACAGGCGCCCCUGUAUGACGGUGGUGGGCACUGCCUGCCUGCUUGUACAGUCAUCCUAAGUUCUACUGGCAGUGCAGCAACACAUGCAGGCAUGGAGGAAGUGUAUGAGGGCUUUGAAGGCUUCAUGCAAGAGCGCCAAGGAGCUUCAACCCACCAUUUGUCUAAGAUAUUCUUUAUUGAGGGAUGUAUGGGGGAUGGCGCAGAAUGGGCUGACGCAGCUGGUGGUGCGCGUGGCGAAGUUCCUGGCAGAGAAUGAGCGCCUGCUGGUUGUGGCUGCCUCCACCAUGAUCAUGUCCCUGUCCCACACCGCACUGCGCCCAGUGCUGCCCACAU